AGACGUCGUGCCAGAGUGGUUAAUGGGUAUGACUCGAACGUUCUCCUUCUGGAGCUCCCAUAGAUAUCAUAUGCCUUCGGGCGCGCAGGUUCGAAUCCUGCCGGCGUCGA